GAAUUCAAAAAAUCUAAGUUAUUACAUUCUCCCCUCCCUAAAAAUGAAUUUGGUCCUCCAAAUUGAACUUAUCAGGUACUAUAAACAGAUGAAGGUUCUUAGGUUUCAUUUUAUCUUCUAGUUUUCAUAUGAAUUACUCAGUGGCUUGGAGUUGCCAAAGUACCUUUAUGAAUAGAAUUCCUUAGAAAUGUAAUUGAAAAUAUUCUCU
rnacentral:lncRNA from 1 species